CGCAAAUGGAGGCCUCAGAGUCGAGUUUCCCAGGCUUCAGGUUUCUCAGUCACAGCCGCACAAAGAGGAGCCUGUGCGGGCGACGGGGACGCUGGAGCGACAGCGGAUGCCAUUUCAGCUGCAACCCAUUACCCAUGGGAGAAACGGGAGUACCCGGAGGAAACCCACGUAAACACAGGAAGAACAUGCAAACUCCACACAGAAAUGCCAACUGACCCGGCCAAGGCUCAAACCAGCGACCUUCUUGUUGUGAGGUGACAUCGCUAUCCACUGCGCCACUGCGUCGCCUCAGAUCACAAAGGGCUUCGGUGAAGAGCUUUAUGCCAACCUGAUGGGAGGAAGGAUGAAGUUUUACCACACACAGCCUGAAACUGGACUGAAUUUACACUCUUGAAUGCCUUGUAAAGGGAUAGUUCACGCAAAAAUGAAAAUGUGCAGUUAUUUAAAUCACCCUCAGAUCAUCUUUUUUCUUCAGUACAGCAUUAAAGAAGAAAUAAUUCUUGGUGGUUUAAAAAACACAUGUCAACAGUAUACCAGCACUUUAGGGGUUAAAAAUAUACAGGAAAAACAAAAAUAACACCCAUCGCUCCUGACUGAGGCCCUCUAAAGCAAAAUGAUUAAUCUGUGCAAUAUGCAGACAAUUAUUUACAACAUUAUUUUAAGCCUGACAAAACAGUUGUGAUUGUUUGUAGCAAGAGCUUCUUUAAAGGAAUAGUUCACACAAAAUUACAACUACCCCAUCAAUACAUUCUUGAGGUACAUGACUUUCUAAUGUCAGAUGAACACAUUUUAUCACUGCUCUUUCAGGUUGUGUAAUGGUGUUAGAAGUGCAUAAAUCUAUUAUAAAAACCAACCCAAUCGCUGGA
ensembl:processed_transcript